rnacentral:lncRNA from 1 species
AGCCGACGCCGACUGGAUGACCCAUUAACCUUAUUAUAAUGAAAGGGGGGGGAAAAGGAUGGCCCACAACUAGGUUGGUAGACCUAGAUAAGGCACAGGUCUCGGGAAAAGGAUGUCCGCGCACCAGGCUAAUUCAUAGUUGUCUCCUGCAUGUGUUUCAAUCCGCUCCGACACGUAUUGAGCCACAGGUGUAUAAUCCAGCAGCCUAUUCUAAACGCUUCUUAGAUAAUGCUUAACUCUUGCUUACCCGAAUGGUUACGGGAACGAGCCGUUUUCGGUUACCGUUAGCCAUCGCAAAACAUGGCGCAAUGUUAAAUACUCAGUCAAAUUUGAGAUGAUCCUGGCUUACCGCUUUGCAGCUGGACCUCUCGGCACGUGAUUUGCAAUGCAAGAGAGCAAGACCCACCGUAUUGGCACCCCAGGACUUGAAAGGGGGAGGCUUCACCUCCGGCAAAGGAUUGCCACAUAUAAUGUUUAUUUUAGCAACUGUUUAUAUUAUCACGAUGCGUAGAGGUUAAACCUUACCUAAGAGACUUGCUCUGGACUGCAGUUAUGCCGGCGACGCCUCUGCAUAGUCUCCGGCACUUUGUUUUUAGGUCGCAAGUCAUAAGCUUGUACCGUCAGUAUAUCCGUGCAACGCGAAGCCUUGGAACGGGACCUCAUCGGGGUGAGCUCUUGCACUUGUCGGCAAACGAUGAGUUAUAGCCGUG